ACUCCUACGGGAGGCAGCAGUGGGGAAUAUUGCACAAUGGGCGCAAGCCUGAUGCAGCCAUGCCGCGUGUGUGAAGAAGGCCUUCGGGUUGUAAAGCACUUUCAGUCGUGAGGAAGGUAGUGUAGUUAAUAGCUGCAUUAUUUGUACGUUAGCGACAGAAGAAGCACCGGCUAACUCCGUGCCAGCAGCCGCGGUAAUACGGAGGGUGCGAGCGUUAAUCGGAAUUACUGGGCGUAAAGCGCAUGCAGGUGGUUUGUUAAGUCAGAUGUGAAAGCCCGGGGCUCAACCUCGGAAUAGCAUUUGAAACUGGCAGACUAGAGUACUGUAGAGGGGGUAGAAUUUCAGGUGUAGCGGUGAAAUGCGUAGAGAUCUGAAGGAUACCGGUGGCGAAGGCGGCCCCUGGACAGAUACUGACACUCAGAUGCGAAAGCGUGGGAGCG
rnacentral:rRNA from 1 species